CAGCCGCCGCGGUAAUACCGGCCGCUCGAGUGAUGUCCCAUAUUAUUGGGCCUAAAGCGUCCGUAGCUGGCCAGCCAAGUCCAUCGGGAAAUCCACCUGCCCAACGGGUGGGCGUCCGGUGGAAACUGGCUGGCUUGGAACCGGAAGGCUCAGAGAGUACGUCCGGGGUAGGAGUGAAAUCCCGUAAUCCCGGACGGACUACCGAUGGCGAAAGCACUCUGAGAAGACGGCUUCGACAGUGAGGGACGAAAGCUAGGGUCUCAAACCGGAUUAGAUACCCGGGUAGUCCUAGCUGUAAACGAUGCUCGUUAGGUGUGGCACCCACUACGAGUGGGUGCUGUGCCGUAGGGAAGCCGCUAAACGAGCCGCCUGGGAAGUACGUCCGCAAGGAUGAAACUUAAAGGAAUUGGCGGG
rnacentral:rRNA from 1 species